rnacentral:rRNA from 2 species
UACCAGCUGGCUGCAACUGUUUAUUAAAAACACAGCACUGUGCAAACACGAAAGUGGACGUAUACGGUGUGACGCCUGCCCGGUGCCGGAAGGUUAAUUGAUGGGGUCAGCGCAAGCGAAGCUCCUGAUCGAAGCCCCGGUAAACGGCGGCCGUAACUAUAACGGUCCUAAGGUAGCGAAAUUCCUUGUCGGGUAAGUUCCGACCUGCACGAAUGGCGUAAUGAUGGCCAGGCUGUCUCCACCCGAGACUCAGUGAAAUUGAACUCGCUGUGAAGAUGCAGUGUACCCGCGGCAAGACGGAAAGACCCCGUGAACCUUUACUAUAGCUUGACACUGAACAUUGAGCCUUGAUGUGUAGGAUAGGUGGGAGGCUUUGAAGCGUGGACGCCAGUCUGCGUGGAGCCGACCUUGAAAUACCACCCUUUAAUGUUUGAUGUUCUAACGUGGACCCGUGAUCCGGGUUGCGGACAGUGUCUGGUGGGUAGUUUGACUGGGGCGGUCUCCUCCUAAAGAGUAACGGAGGAGCACGAAGGUUGGCUAAUCCUGGUCGGACAUCAGGAGGUUAGUGCAAUGGCAUAAGCCAGCUUGACUGCGAGCGUGACGGCGCGAGCAGGUGCGAAAGCAGGUCAUAGUGAUCCGGUGGUUCUGAAUGGAAGGGCCAUCGCUCAACGGAUAAAAGGUACUCCGGGGAUAACAGGCUGAUACCGCCCAAGAGUUCAUAUCGACGGCGGUGUUUGGCACCUCGAUGUCGGCUCAUCACAUCCUGGGGCUGAAGUAGGUCCCAAGGGUAUGGCUGUUCGCCAUUUAAAGUGGUACGCGAGCUGGGUUUAGAACGUCGUGAGACAGUUCGGUCCCUAUCUGCCGUGGGCGCUGGAGAACUGAGGGGGGCUGCUCCUAGUACGAGAGGACCGGAGUGGACGCAUCACUGGUGUUCGGGUUGUCAUGCCAAUGGCACUGCCCGGUAGCUAAAUGCGGAAGAGAUAAGUGCUGAAAGCAUCUAAGCACGAAACUUGCCCCGAGAUGAGUUCUCCCUGAGACUUUAGGUCUCCUGAAGGAACGUUGAAGACGACGACGUUGAUAGGCCGGGUGUGUAAGCGCAGCGAUGCGUUGAGCUAACCGGUACUAAUGAACCGUGAGGCUUAACCUU